GAUGAACGCUGGCGGCGUGCCUAAUACAUGCAAGUCGAGCGAACAGAUGAGGAGCUUGCUCCUCUCACGUUAGCGGCGGACGGGUGAGUAACACGUGGAUAACCUACCUAUAAGACUGGGAUAACUUCGGGAAACCGGAGCUAAUACCGGAUAAUAUAUUGAACCGCAUGGUUCAAUAGUGAAAGACGGUUUUGCUGUCACUUAUAGAUGGAUCCGCGCCGCAUUAGCUAGUUGGUAAGGUAACGGCUUACCAAGGCAACGAUGCGUAGCCGACCUGAGAGGGUGAUCGGCCACACUGGAACUGAGACACGGUCCAGACUCCUACGGGAGGCAGCAGUAGGGAAUCUUCCGCAAUGGGCGAAAGCUUGACGGAGCAACGCCGCGUGAGUGAUGAAGGUCUUCGGAUCGUAAAACUCUGUUAUUAGGGAAGAACAAAUGUGUAAGUAACUAUGCACGUCUUGACGGUACCUAAUCAGAAAGCCACGGCUAACUACGUG
rnacentral:rRNA from 1 species